rnacentral:rRNA from 1 species
AUGAACGCUGGCGGCGUGCUUAACACAUGCCAGUCGCACGAUGAAGCCCAGCUUGCUGGGUGGAUUAGUGGCGAACGGGUGAGUAACACGUGAGUAACCUGCCCUUAACUCUGGGAUAAGCCUGGGAAACUGGGUCUAAUACCGGAUAGGAGCGUCCACCGCAUGGUGGGUGUUGGAAAGAUUUAUCGGUUUUGGAUGGACUCGCGGCCUAUCAGCUUGUUGGUGAGGUAAUGGCUCACCAAGGCGACGACGGGUAGCCGGCCUGAGAGGGUGACCGGCCACACUGGGACUGAGACACGGCCCAGACUCCUACGGGAGGCAGCAGUGGGGAAUAUUGCACAAUGGGCGAAAGCCUGAUGCAGCGACGCCGCGUGAGGGAUGACGGCCUUCGGGUUGUAAACCUCUUUCAGUAGGGAAGAAGCGAAAGUGACGGUACCUGCAGAAGAAGCACCGGCUAACUACGUG